AGCUUUGUUCCAUUGCUGGUGAGGAGCUGCGUUCCUUUGGAGGAGAAGAGGUGCUCUGAUUUUUAGAAUUUUCAACUUUUCUGCUCUGGUUUCUCCCCAUCUUUGUGGUUUUAUCUACCUUUGGUCUUUGAUGAUGGUGAUGUACAGACGGGAUUUUGGUGUGGGUGUCCUUUCUGUUUGUUAGUUUUCCUUGUAACAGUUAGGACCCUCAGCUGCAGGUCUGUUGGAGUUUGCUGGAGGUACACUCCAGGCCCUGUUUUCCUGGGUAUCACCAGCAGAGGCUACAGAAUAGCAAAUAUUGCAGAACGGCAGAUGUUGCUGCCUGAUCCUUCCUUUGGAAGCUUUGUCUCAGAGGGGCACCCAGCUGUAUGAGUUGCCAGUCAGCCGCUACUGGGAAGUGUCUCCCAGUUAGGCUACUUGGGGGUCAGGGACCCGUUUGAGGAGGCAGUCUGUCCAUUCUCAGAUCUCAAAAUCCAUGCUGGGAAAACCACUACACUCUUCCAUGCUGUCAGACAGGGAUGUUUAAGUCUGCAGAAGUUUCUGCUGCCUUUUGUUCAGCUAUGCCCUGCCCCCAGAAGUGGAGUCUAUAGAGGCAACAAGCCUUGUGGUGCUGUGGUGGGCUCCACCCAGUUUAAGCUUCCUGGCCACUUUGUUUCCCUACUCAAGCCUCAGCAACGGUGGACAACCAUCCUCCUGCUGGGCUGCUGCCUCACAGAUCAAUCUCAGACUGCCGUACUAGCAGUGAGCAAGGCUCCAUGGGUGUGGGACAUGCUGAGCCAGGCAUGGGAUACAAUCUUCUGGUGUGCCGUUUGCUAGGACAGUUGGAAAAGCACAGUAUUUGUGCAGGAGUGUCCUGUUUUUCCAGGUACAGUCUGUCAUGCCUUUCUUUGGCUAGGAAAGGGAAAUCCCCCCAACCCCUUAUGCUUCCAGGGUGAAGCAAUGCCCUGCCCUGCUUAAGUUUGCCCUGCGUGGGCUGCACUCACUGUCCAACCAGUCCCAGUGAGAUGAACCAGGUACCUCAGUUGGAAAUGCAGAAAUCUCCCGUCUUCUACAUUGAUCACGCUGGGAGCUGCAGAUUGGAGCUGUUCCUGUUUGCCCAUCCUCUCCGUGCUUUCUUUACCUCUGAGGUUGGACACCCCCAUAGGAUCCUGCAAUCUUUCUGCCCCAAAAAACUACUAUAGCAGGAGGGAACCUGUUCCUGCCCACCCUUUGUCUACUCCUUCUCAUCCUAGAGAGCCUGACCAUGCCCUAGUUUUCUGAGGAGUGAUUGGUAUUCUAAGGUGCUGAGCAGGAUGAGGAAGUUCAGGCUCAGAGAGGGAUUUCCACCUAAUCUGCCUGGAAACCAUGUGUAGCUGCCCAAUAAGGUCUUUCUAUGUUCAGAAGGUCACAGACCAGGGGUGUUGGAGUAGGAGAUUUGUAGAGACAGUUUUGACCCCUGUACUUAGAGCAGAGGGGUGUGUUUUCCAUGGAGAGUGUGUGUGGGCAGCUGUGUGUGAGCCUGUGUGGGCUCUGUGUGUGUUCCUGUGUGAAUAUAUGUGUGUGCUCCUUCAUGGACACAGCAUGCAUGUAGUGGGCACAGCAAGGUGAGAGAAAUCAGGAGACUAGGGACACAUUGCCAAAUGAUAAUAUCUUCCUACUGGGCAGGACUUGGGGUGUGCAAAGGUGUGCAUGAGUACUGCAAAAGCAGUUCAAAGAGCAGAGAGGUGGGGCCAGAAUAAAUAUGUUGCAGAAAGACAGUCAUCAGGGAGGAAAGUGAGGACUCUGACCAAAAUGCCUGAGGGUUUCCCUGCCUACCAUAGCCCUCUGUGUUCUUAAAUCCUCCUGUGUCAACAGAGGCCAGACUCUGGGUUCCCCCACAGCCUGUCCGUGUCUGUCCUCUGCAAAGCCAUGUGGCUCUACCUGGCAGUUUUUGUGGGCCUGUACUACCUUCUGCAUUGGUACCGGGAGAGGCAGGUGCUGAGCCACCUGAGAGAUAAGUAUGUGUUCAUCACCGGCUGUGACUCUGGCUUCGGGAAACUGCUGGCCAGACAGCUGGACGCACGAGGCUUGCGGGUGCUGGCUGCGUGUCUGACAGAGAAAGGAGCCGAGCAGCUGAGGGGCCAGACUUCAGACAGGCUGGAGACGGUGACCCUGGAUGUCACCAAGACAGAGAGUGUUGCUGCAGCCGCCCAGUGGGUGAAGGAACGCGUGGGGGAAAGAGGAGGGAACUAUCCUACUUUGGGGUGAAAGUGGCUAUGAUUGAGCCUGGCUAUUUCAAGACUGCUGUGACCAGUAAAGAGAGAUUCUUAAAGAGCUUCCUGGAGAUUUGGGACCAGUCCAGCCCAGAGGUCAAGCAGAUCUAUGGCGAGAAGUUUGUUGCAUCCUAUAAGAAAUCAGCUGAACAAUUGGAGCAGACUUGCACACAGGAUUUGUCCUUGGUGACCAACUGCAUGGAGCAUGCGCUGAUUGCCUGCCACCCCCGCACUCGCUACUCAGCUGGCUGGGAUGCCAAGCUUCUCUACCUCCCCAUGAGCUACAUGCCCACUUUCCUGGUGGAUGCCAUUAUCUACUGGGGUUCUCCAAGCCCGGCCAAGGCUCUAUGAAGCCAAGGAUCAGGUGCAUGGUUGCAUGGAUUUGGGGUGUGCUAUGAGGGGUGAUGUAUCCUUGGGAGAGAAAUAAAGUGGAGGGAGGCCGUUGUCAGGUCAGUAGGGCACUGAUCUCACUUCCUGCAUUACCUCCUGUCCAUGAUUCUCCUGGGAGAUAAUUCUGCUCUCUGAAGAUGUUGGUAGGAAAGUUUCAAGUUAAGCAGCUGAGAAACAGGAACCAAAUAGUGCUCCUGGGUGCAUUGUCACCUUAGGUGGCCACUCAAGGGUCCAAGCCUCUUGUGCUAACAACUGGGGUGAGUAUGAGCAGGUGGAAGGAGCCUCAGCCCAUGCCAUUACCUCCUGCUUCCUUAUCAGGCUGUGUGUUAAUUCUGGGCCAGUCUAGGCCAUGGGGUGGAAAUGGCUUGGGAGACGUGAGGGGACCCCUUCUCUGAAGAUCCUUGUAUACAUAGUGUUGGGACCGGGAGCGCAACCAUUACAUGGCCCCAUAGGCCUCACGAGUCAUCCCAGCAGCAGUGGCUGGAAGGUGGUGUCCUCAGUAGGGAUCUGUGCAGAGGACAAAUAAAUCAGUUUUUUAUUUGUCUUGAAA